CCUACGGGAGGCAGCAGUGGGGAAUAUUGGACAAUGGGCGCAAGCCUGAUCCAGCCAUACCGCGUGGGUGAAGAAGGCCUUCGGAUUGUAAAGCCCUUUUGUUGGGAAAGAAAUCCAGCUGGUUAAUACCCGGUUGGGAUGACGGUACCCAAAGAAUAAGCACCGGCUAACUUCGUGCCAGCAGCGCGGGUAAU
rnacentral:rRNA from 1 species